ensembl:lncRNA
GUCAGCCCCCCCACAUCAUCUCCCAAGCGGCUAAAUCCAAACACGUAGGAGGCCCGGUGGGGAGCCAAUAUGUCCAAAGGGCCCAGCGGCUCCGUGCCGUCGUCCUGAAUCCAAAGCUGAAGCGGACAUUCCACAGGCAUAUGGUGAAUGCCACAUUAGAUGUUCUCCCUUUUGCAGAUCAAACCGGAGGUCACAGCUGCACCGCUCCCAAACCAGCCGCAGAUGUGUCGGCACAGUUGCCUGACUACCAGUGCAGAUGGAACACUUUCCGGGGCUGGAAAUGAAAAGCACAAAAAGUGUUGUUUGGCAAGGAUCUACUUUGGUUCCCCUGAGAGAACCACUGACAUCAGAGAAGCCGAAAAAACAAACAAAUUUACUUGGUUUUUGUGAAGAUUUUUGCCAUGGACCCCUGACAGAUCUGAUAUGAAAUUGUGG